UUCACCCCUUAACUUUCUUGCAUUAUCUUACACAUGAGCUUUUGGGGGACACCACAUAUUUAAACACCACAUAUUGAAGCAGGAGGAUCACAAGUUCAAAUGUGUGGUUUAAAUAUGUGGUGUCCCCCAAAAGCUCAUGUGUAAGAUAAUGCAAGAAAGUUAAGGGGU
rnacentral:miRNA from 1 species